GUCUUUAUGCCUCAAGCUUGGGUCCCCUACCAGAGGCCUGGAAGCUUGAGGGUCCUGUACAGUAUCUUUGCUGUUCCCAGGACUACACUCUUCUGGACAGAGAUCUAGAAUAUCAUUCUUGGGAUCUGCUCAAGCCACUUGCCCAGUUUGGGAGUCACUAUCCUGAGUGCUCUGAUUACCACUGGGACCACUGUUGCCUUCACCCUCCACAUCUUCUUAAGCUCUUCUCUCAACCCAUGGUAUUUCUUGAGCUUCUUGUGUUUCUUCUUCCUGAAAAUGUUAUCCUAGCAACAUCUUUCACUGUGGCCAUCUUCCUCUGCUUGUCCAACACUACUAUGUCCAGUUGGUUAGCCAUCACCAGUUUGUCUGUCUGUAACUGGCAGGCUCUUAGCUCAGUCAUCAUCAACCACCAUGGAGGGCAUAUCACAUUUUGACCUCAUGACUUUCAGGCCAUACUUGGCACAGAUAUUUCUCUAUAUACCAGCUACCUGGAUUUGCUGCCAUCUAGCAUCUUGCACCCUGGUGUUAUGUGUUGGAGUGUCUCAGGGACAUCUUUGCACAGCUUGCACCUGGGGUCUUGCCUGGUGUGGUACACCAUUGCCUCUAUGGAUCUUGUACUUAGAGCUUGUUCCUGCGCUGCCAUGAUUUGUGCCUCUGUGCUGUCUUUCAGUACAGCUUUUUUCAGCCAUUGGUUGGAUUUCUUGAUAAUAGACACUUCUUCUAUCUGCUGGUGGUACAUGCUGUAUGGGGGCCUGUCCUUCCAUGAUGGUUCCUCUUCUUGCCCUUUCUAUUUCUCAUGUUUCUGCUGCCUGAGGUAUUCACUAAGCACGUGGUCAUUCGUUGGCAUCUUCCUGAUGUACAGGGGUGGUUGUAGCUCAGAAGGUAGAGUAUCUACUAAUUGGAAGCUUGGUGGUUUGAUCCCUGGCUGCUCCAGACUACAUGCCAAAUAUUCUUCGGCAAGAUACUAACACCUUGUUGCUCUCCAAUGCAUCCAUCUCAAGUGUAAAUGUUUGAUAGAAAACACUUAAGCAUAGAAAAAGUGCUUGUAUGAAUGGGUGUGCAUGGGUGAAUGAGGCAUGCUGUAUAAAGCGCUCUGAACGCUCUGAUUGGGUAGAAAAAGCACUUGUACAGUUCUAGGCAUUCCAGGAUCCACAUGUAAGUCAUUGAGUCAGAGGCUCUCUUGAAGUCAGUCCAGGCAGUGCAUAGGUUGGUCGGUCUGGUCUUACAGUUACUGAUCUGUCUACCAGUAGCUGUUGUUUCCCCCCCACUGAGUUUUUCUGCCAAUUCCUGCCCUGCUCAUGUAUUGAGCCAUGUGCCUGUUCAUUUUGCUAUGAUGCCUGACAGAAGCUUCCAUGUACUGCAGCAAGUUAUUGGCUAGUAGUUGGAUAGGACCAGUCAGGACUGUCCGGCCUUCAGUUAGCCAUUCUCGUCGUGUCUCAUCCAUUAGCAGGUGGUUCAUUUGUGCUUCAGAGAUUCAUGAAGGGCAGUUAGCUUCUUUAGUCAGUAUCUGUGUAUCAUGUCAAGGCCUGGUGCUGUCCAAAUCUUCAUGCUUAUGACCCUUUCUUGGAUGCCUACUGCUGUGAUGGUUACUGGAUCUUAUCCAGGGAGGUUGCUGUGGUCUGCUCUUAGAGCCACUAGCCACUGAGCAUUAUUGCUAUAAGUUGCAUCUCGCACAUGGUCUUCCAGUACUGCUAGGUCUCCAGCAUUGGUGAGGCUGUUGUUCUCAUAUUGUUUCCCUGCCACUGAGAGUACCUUGAAUGGUUUAUUCUCCUGGCUUCGAACUUUCUGGUAUACCUUUUCAAGCAGCUACCCAAGGCUGUGAGUCUUUGCUUGGCAGUUUCUAAGACCUCAGGUAUGGACAGGUUGUUGUACUUCUUCGGCAUCCCUUUUUUCGUCACACCUUUCUGCAGGUUUGACCGUUGCUCAUAAAAAUCCAGACCAACACACUCUGAUCAAAACCAGUAAUUUCAAGCAAUUAAUAGAUCUGCAAAUUUUGACAAUUUAAAACAAUGUAUGUGCAAAGUAAGACAGUAUGUAAAAAGAAAAGAUAAAAAACUAAUAACAAGAAGAUGAGAGUUAAAAGAGUCUUGCACAGGGAGAAACUGAUCCAGGCAUAAAGCUGAUUUAUCAGAAUAGAGUGGCAUAAAAAAUGAAUCCUGCCUUCAACCACAUCAGGACCCCACCCCCUACUCUCUUGUUCACUCACUGGUGCCAGGGAUGCUUGAGAGAAAUGCAGGCUGGAGCUGAGAAAAAGACAUGAUGACAGAAAUUUAAAGCUAAAUAUACAGAUUCAAUCAUAAGACUUCACAAGAACAUCUGAGGAUAUGACGGAAACAUGCCAUAAAAUCAUCAUGGGGCUACAUAACUUCCUGAAGGAGUAUAUUCAUGGUUUUUGGGACUAUGAGACCCCCAAGGUGAUGGUGGUUAAGAACAGAACUCUUGGCGUGAUUUACAGGAGUGUUCAGUUUCUUGUGAUCACUUAUUUCAUAUGGUAUGUCUUUAUAAGUCAGAAAGCAUACCAAGAGAGUGAAACCCGUCCAGAGAGCUCUGUUUACACUCUCAUGAAAGGCUCAGCAAUUCAUGGAGAUGAGAUCCUGGACACUGUGGAGUAUGCCCGACCCUCAGAGGGUGGCGAUGUGAUUAGCACAAUACUGAGACGAGAAUUCACGUUCAAUCAGAGACAAGACACCUGUGCUGAGCAUUUCAAUGUUGCCGAUGCCAACUGCACCACCGAUUCUGACUGCGUCGAAGGGGAAGUCAACUUCAAUGGCCACGGCAGAAGGACGGGCAGAUGUGUUCAGUACUACAACCACACCUUUAAAACCUGUGAGAUACAAACCUGGUGUCCGAUUGAGGAAUACGCUGUAGUACGAGAACCACCAUUAGAGGAGGCCAUCAAUUUCACAGUGUUCAUCAGGAACUCUAUCCACUUCCCCAAAUUUAAAGUGCUGAGGGGAAAUAUUAAGGAUGCCCGAAACAAGCGAGACAUUAAGAGAUACCUGAAUAAGUGUCACUAUGAUGAGGAGAGUGACCCCUACUGUCCCAUCUUCCGCUUGGGAUACAUCGCAGCACAAGCGAGGGAGAAUUUUAGUGAGCUCUGCAACACUGGAGGAGUGAUCGGUGUUUUCAUCAACUGGAAGUGUAACUUGGAUCUGGAUCCCUCACACUGUAAACCCACAUACUCAUUCCGUCGCCUUGACCUCCGAAAGGAUCUGCCCGACGCUGGUUAUUAUUACAGGUUUGCCAAAUAUUACAGUAAAGAUGGAGAAGAAACUCGGACACUAAUCAAGGCCUAUGGCAUCCGUCUAGAUAUCAUAGUUCAUGGACAUGCUGGUAAAUUUAGCCCUAUUCCAACCAUCAUCAGCACAGUGACUGCUAUGACUUCUGUUGGGAUUUGUACAAUAAUCUGCGACUGGAUCAUGCUGACAUUUAUCGACAAGAAUGAAGUCUACAGUGAGAGAAAGUUUGAUGAAGUGAUCAAGGAGCCCACAAAUCCCAUACCCACAGAGCUCAGCUACAUCAACAGCUUCGGCUCGAACCAUUCUGACCUGUCUGACGGCGUACCGCUGUGACCAAAGUCCUCGCUGGCCAAGUGCAUGGACUCCCCACCACCGACUUCGGCAAAACAGCAACUGCAUCUCAGUUUGAUGUGCUCAGCACACAGGAGGAAACUGCCAGGAGAAACACAAGGAGGGCUACGAACAGUAAUCGAAUAAUGCAGACAUUUCCCAUAAAAUGGUUCCUGUAACAAGAUUGCGGGGAAGUGUGAAUCCAUCUGGUUGCCAGUGAGCAAUACAGAUGUCAAAAAAAAAAACCCACGUAAAAAUUUAAGACUCAAUUUGAGUGAUCAAUAACUGCCAUGAAGGUAGGCAGAAAGUCACUUCAUUUUGGAAAUUAUGGACUUGCAACACAUAAAAAGUGUGACAGCAUUUAUGUGAAAAUAUAUUUUUGUAAUUUGCCCGACAGACAAACCAUAUUAACUAAAUGUAACAUUUGCUGAGAGGCUGAUGCAAAUGCAAAUAAGUCAUUUAAGAGCACAAAAAUGCUCUCAUCAUUUCUUUUUAUCAACAUACAUGCAGAACAUGUCUAUGAGAACCUCAAAGAAGUGAAUCUGAUUGUACAGCAGUUAAGUCUGAAAUGUGAUUACUUGUCUGGGAGACACCCACCAGGAGGUAACGUGAGUCAUCUGAGAAACAAUGAGGUUAAAGUGAAGGGGAUGUGUGGAUUAAGGCAAUUCUAAAGCAGACAUACAUAACGCUCACUACCAGAUACAUAUAUCCCAUAUGGGAUAAUGACAAAAAAACAAAUUUGCAUCCAGCCAGAAAUUCAUCUUUUUCAGUCUGCAAGGUUCAAAUUUGCUCAAUAAAAAAGGAAGUUAGAUUUGUCAAAGUCGUCUUCACUGUCGCCAAACCAAAGAAACAAUGAAAGAUUACGCAACAUGCAAUGAGGCAGCAUUAGUCAAGUUUCACAGCAGAAGAAAUUAGAGUGGAUGCAGGUCAUGUAAUUGAAGCUGUGCGCAAUUUACAGCAGACACAUUAGCAGCCGAGGGAGGGAGGAGAAAACCGAGACAGCGUAACGACAGAGUAGAUCCAAUUUAGAAAAAAUACAGAACUGCAGCAAUCACAAGCAGACCAAGACACAUGAAAAACACAUUUAUUAUCAGUGAAAAUCUUCAUACACAUACAUAACUAAUACAAUCCAAACAUAUUUACAGUGCACAUAUCCUGCUUCAUCGGGAAAUCAUCUUGGUUACACAAUCACACAGCAAGAAACAGAUCAAUGCUGAAAUUCGCAUAAAACUCAUAAAAAUGCAGGAAAGCACUCUGUUUCCUGAUUUGUAGUUGCUACAGAUGGA